rnacentral:tRNA from 1 species
GCACUUUAGCUCAGGGGUAGAGCGCGCGCUUGAUAAGCGUGAGGUCCGUGGUUCGAAGCCACGAAGGUGCACCA